GGCGAACGGGUGAGUAACACGUGAGUAACCUGCCCUUGACUUUGGGAUAACUUCAGGAAACUGGGGCUAAUACCGGAUAGGAGCUCCUGCUGCAUGGUGGGGGUUGGAAAGUUUCGGCGGUUGGGGAUGGACUCGCGGCUUAUCAGCUUGUUGGUGGGGUAGUGGCUUACCAAGGCUUUGACGGGUAGCCGGCCUGAGAGGGUGACUGGCCACAUUGGGACUGAGAUACGGCCCAG
rnacentral:rRNA from 1 species